GACGAACGCUGGCGGCGUGCUUAACACAUGCAAGUCGAACGGAAAGGCCCUGCUUUUGUGGGGUGCUCGAGUGGCGAACGGGUGAGUAACACGUGAGUAACCUGCCCUUGACUUUGGGAUAACUUCAGGAAACUGGGGCUAAUACCGGAUAGGAGCUCCUGCUGCAUGGUGGGGGUUGGAAAGUUUCGGCGGUUGGGGAUGGACUCGCGGCUUAUCAGCUUGUUGGUGGGGUAGUGGCUUACCAAGGCUUUGACGGGUAGCCGGCCUGAGAGGGUGACCGGGCAACAGGGGGACUGGGGUCGGGCGAGACGGCGGCGGGAGGGAGCAGGGGGGAAUGGUGGACGAAGGGGGGGAGGUGGAUGCAGGCAGGCCGCGGGGGGGAUGACGGCGGGGGGGUUGGAAACCGAUGGGAGCAGGGACGAAGCGGGGGGGGAAGGGACCUGAAGAAGAAGCACCGGCUAAUGACGUG
rnacentral:rRNA from 1 species